rnacentral:rRNA from 1 species
AGUGAACGCUGGCGGUAGGCCUAACACAUGCAAGUCGAACGGCAGCACAGUAAGAGCUCGCUCUUACGGGUGGCGAGUGGCGGACGGGUGAGGAAUACAUCGGAAUCUACUUUUUCGUGGGGGAUAACGUAGGGAAACUUACGCUAAUACCGCAUACGACCUACGGGUGAAAGCAGGGGAUCUUCGGACCUUGCGCGAUUGAAUGAGCCGAUGUCGGAUUAGCUAGUUGGCGGGGUAAAGGCCCACCAAGGCGACGAUCCGUAGCUGGUCUGAGAGGAUGACAAGCCAAAAGGGAAAUGGGAAACGGGCCAAAACCCUAGGGGAGGCAGCAGGGGGGAAAAUUGGAAAAUGGGGGCAAGCCUGAUCCAGCCAUACCGGGGGGGUGAAGAAGGCCUUCGGGUUGUAAAGCCCUUUUGUUGGGAAAAAAAAGCAGCAGGUUAAAACCCCGCUGUUCUGACGGUACCAAAAGAAAAAGCACCGGCUAACUUCGU